AGAAACCAACAGGGAUUGCCCCAGUAACGGCGAGUGAAGCGGCAAGAGCUCAAAUUUGAAAGCUGGCUCUUCGGGGUCCGCAUUGUAAUUUGCAGAGGAUGCUUCGGGAGCGGUCCCCAUCUAAGUGCCCUGGAACGGGACGUCAUAGAGGGUGAGAAUCCCGUAUGGGAUGGGGUGUCCGCGCCCGUGUGAAGCUCCUUCGACGAGUCGAGUUGUUUGGGAAUGCAGCUCUAAAUGGGUGGUAAAUUUCAUCUAAAGCUAAAUAUUGGCCGGAGACCGAUAGCGCACAAGUAGAGUGAUCGAAAGAUGAAAAGCACUUUGAAAAGAGAGUUAAAAAGCACGUGAAAUUGUUGAAAGGGAAGCGCUUGCGACCAGACUCGCUCGCGGGGUUCAGCCGGCAUUCGUGCCGGUGUAUUUCCCCGCGGGCGGGCCAGCGUCGGUUUGGGCGGUCGGUCAAAGGCCCUCGGAAGGUAACGCCCCUAGGGGCGUCUUAUAGCCGAGGGUGCAAUGCGACCUGCCUAGACCGAGGAACGCGCUUCGGCUCGGACGCUGGCAUAAUGGUCGUAAGCGACCCGUCUUGAAACACGGACCAAGGAGUCUAACAUCUACGCGAGUGUUCGGGUGUCAAACCCGUGCGCGAAGUGAAAGCGAACGGAGGUGGGAACCCUUACGGGUGCACCAUCGACCGAUCCUGAAGUCUUCGGAUGGAUUUGAGUAAGAGCGUAGCUGUUGGGACCCGAAAGAUGGUGAACUAUGCCUGAAUAGGGCGAAGCCAGAGGAAACUCUGGUGGAGGCUCGUAGCGGUUCUGACGUGCAAAUCGAUCGUCGAAUUUGG
rnacentral:rRNA from 1 species